rnacentral:misc_RNA from 1 species
AUCUAUAGAAGGGACCAUAAUGGCAGAAAUAAAAGAAAAUUUUAUUUGAAAAAAUUAUUCAAAAGCUAUUUAGCGUUCUUUCCUUUUUAACGAUUCGACCUUUUAAACAUUACGCAAUAUGAAUGACUAAUUAAUUAUGAAAGGAAGACACAAAAUAUAACAAUUUCGUUACGUCGAAGACAUAAAACGAUGGGCGUUCACGCCAACGCUAAAAGUGCGGUGGUAUACGACACCAGCUCUUGCGGGCCACCUGGAUCAUAAGAAAGUGAUUCGGGAGCCUUUAUUCUAAAUGAUCGGAUGUGCAAUGGAAUAUUCGAAAUCGGGGAACAUUUUGACUCGAUAUCGAUGAGAUACAGAUACAAGAAUCAUCGUUGCAACGUGAAUUUGAAAUUCCGUAUACAUGUGUACAACUGCAACAGUACAAUUGUUGCGAAAAUAAAAUUUGAAGGAAAGAGAAGCGUGCUAUUCAUACGCUAACUGAGAAAAGUAACUCGAAAAGAGAAAGGGAUGAUGAAGUCGACUUCAUGGUUUGCUGUGCAAUUUUGUUAAUAACAUUGUAAAAUUGCUGGCUACGGAAAAACUUUAAUCUGAUGCCAUUCACAUGGUAAAAGGCAACAAUUUCGACCGGUAAAUUGGUAAAAAUCGUAGGCUUUUUAUCGCCAUCAUUGAGUUGAAUGCAUUGAUCUGGAAGGAGUUAUAACAUACAAACAUGGUGCAAAUUAAUUUGUAAUUUUCAUGGAAAGAGCUCUGGUCUCGUCACUUCUAAAGCGAGCCAUUUAAGGAAGAGAUUACAAAUUUUCGUUCGCAUUAUUUUCGUGUCAUUCUGCAUACCUAUUGGCAAACCAGUCGUGCAUAGAAUGUGAUUAUGAAACGGAGUAAACAAUCGUUUAGCUGUCUUCUACUGAAAAUUUCAUAAUUUCACCCAAUUUCAUUAUCUUUGUUUCGAUAGGAUAUAAAUAAAAUGAAUGUUCUUAAUGCGUAAAUGACGUUCAAGACAUCGUACAUAAACGUACCUACGACGACACCAUGUUCAGCAUUCGCCGCUAGCAACUCAUCAGCAAUUCGAUUAUUCAUCGGAAUCUAGGUCUGGAGCGAAAAAUACGGAGUAACCAGGCCACAGUCUGUGAAUCAGCAAGACGCUAUCUCCAGAUUGUUCUUAGAUCCUUUUCAACGAUCUCUAAUUAUAGAUUAUUGGAACGAUCAGCAAACGAGGAGAAUCAAGGACUAUGUUCUGCAUCACUAACGAUUACUGUCAAUAAAUGGUCCAGACUCGUGACUUCACGGAAGAUUUCUGUGUGAUAAGCUUGCUUCCUAUUCGAUUUGUAUGGAUACUGUGUUCUUGAAACGUCGUUAUGUUUAUGUAUGUCUUAUGUUUGCCUAGCUGCUAGCUACUAAUGUUUUUACCUUUAAAGAAUUACAAUUCGCACCUCAUGGACACGAUAUGCGAAAAAUUGACUUUGCUGCGGUAAAUAGGGUAGCAAUUAAUUAUAAAAAGACAACAUUAUUCCAAUAAGAGAUUAAAAAGUGGAAAGUAGUUUUUGUAGAAGGUAUCUUACGGUGAACGGUAGGUGAAGUCAAAGCUUAUCCGAACACGUAUACCC